rnacentral:rRNA from 1 species
CCGCUGANGUUAAGCAUAUNNNUNAGCGGUAGAAAAGAAAUCACGGGGAUUGCCUCGUAACGGCGAGUGAAGCGGCAACAGCUCAAAUUUGAAAUCUGGCCCUUCGGGGUCCGAGUUGUAAUUUGUAGAGAGUGUUUCGGGGGAGACCGCGGUCUAAGUCCAUUGGAACAUGGGGUCAUAGAGGGUGAGAAUCCCGUAUGCGACCGUGGAUCGAACCCAUGUGAAGCCUCUUCGACGAGUCGAGUUGUUUGGGAAUGCAGCUCAAAAUGGGUGGUAAAUNUNAUCUAAAGCUAAAUACUGGCUGGAGACCGAUAGCGCACAAGUAGAGNNAUCGAAAGAUGAAAAGCACUUUGGAAAGAGAGUUAAACAGUACGUGAAAUUGUUGAAAGGGAAGCGCUNGCAACCAGACCUGCCCGUAGGCGAUCNGUCGCUGUUCUCAGUGGUGCACUCGCUUUCCGAUCAGGCCAGCAUCGGUUUCGGCGGUCGGAUAAAGGCCUUGGGAAUGUGGCUCCCUUUCGGGGGAGUGUUAUAGCCCUCGGUGCAAUGCGGCCAGCCGGGACCGAGGACCGCGCUUCGGCUAGGAUGCUGGCGUAAUGGUUGUCAGCGACCCGUCUUGAAACACGGACCAAGGAGUCUAACAUNUAUCCGAGUGUUUGGGUGUCAAACCCAUGCGCGGAAUGAAAGUGAACGGAGGUGAGAACCCUUAAGGGCGCAUCAUCGACCGAUCCAGAUGUCUUCCGAUGGAUUUGAGUAUGAUCAUAGCUGUUGGGACCNGACAGAUGGUGAACUAUGCCUGAAUAGGGUGAAGCCAGAGGAAACUCUGGUGGAGGCUCGCAGCGGUUCUGACGUGCAAAUCGAUCGUCAAAUUUGGGUAUAGG